rnacentral:rRNA from 1 species
AGACCGGCGCACGGGUGCGUAACGCGUAUGCAAUCUACCUUUUACAGAGGGAUAGCCCAGAGAAAUUUGGAUUAAUACCUCAUAGUAUAGCAGCUUCGCAUGAAGUCACUAUUAAAGUUCCAACGGUAAAAGAUGAGCAUGCGUCCUAUUAGCUAGAUGGUAAGGUAACGGCUUACCAUGGCUACGAUAGGUAGGGGUCCUGAGAGGGAGAUCCCCCACACUGGUACUGAGACACGGACCAGACUCCUACGGGAGGCAGCAGUGAGGAAUAUUGGACAAUGGGCGCAAGCCUGAUCCAGCCAUGCCGCGUGCAGGAAGACGCAUCUAUGGUGUGUAAACUGCUUUUGUACGGGAAGAAACACUCCUACGUGUAGGAGCUUGACGGUACCGUAAGAAUAAGGAUCGGCUAACUCCGUGCCAGCAGCCGCGGUAAUACGGAGGAUCCAAGCGUUAUCCGGAAUCAUUGGGUUUAAAGGGUCCGUAGGCGGUUUGAUAAGUCAGUGGUGAAAGCCCAUCGCUCAACGAUGGAACGGCCAUUGAUACUGUCAGACUUGAAUUACUAGGAAGUAACUAGAAUAUGUAGUGUAGCGGUGAAAUGCUUAGAUAUUACAUGGAAUACCAAUUGCGAAGGCAGGUUACUACUAGUGGAUUGACGCUGAUGGACGAAAGCGUGGGGAGCGAACAGGAUUAGAUACCCUGGUAGUCCACGCCGUAAACGAUGGAUACUAGCUGUUCGGGGCAACCUGAGUGGCUAAGCGAAAGUGAUAAGUAUCCCACCUGGGGAGUACGUUCGCAAGAAUGAAACUCAAAGGAAUUGACGGGG